rnacentral:rRNA from 1 species
CCCUUAGAUGUCCUGAGCCGCACGCGUGCUACACUGAUGCAUACAGCGAGUACUCCCAGCUCCGAGAGGCUGCUGGUAAUCAGCAAUAUGCAUCGUGAUGGGGAUAGAUCUUUGGAAUUAUAGAUCUUGAACGAGGAAUUCCUAGUAAUCGCAGGUCAUCACCCUGCGUUGACUAAGUCCCUGCCCUUUGUACACACCGCCCGUCGCUCCUACCGAUUUCGAGUGAUCCGGUGAAUCAUUCGGACCGCGGCCCCUAGGCAUGCGGAAAGUCUAGUAAACCAUAUCACUUAGAGGAAGGAGAAGUCGUAACA